rnacentral:rRNA from 1 species
UAGGUGAACNUGCGGAAGGGACAUUG